GCUAAGGUCAGAGGAGAGCAGUGGUUGCUGGGCUAAGGUCAGAGGAGAGCAGUGGCCGCUGGGCUAAGAUCACAGAGGAGAGCAGUGGCCGCUGGGCUAAGAUCACAGAGGAGAGCAGUGGCCGCUGGGCCAAGAUCAGAGGAGAGCAGUGGCUGCUGGGCUAAGGUCACAGAGGAGAGCAGUGGCUGCUGGGCUAAGGUCACAGAGGAGAGCAGUGGCUGCUAGGCUAAGCUCAGAGGAGAGCAGUGGCUGCUGGGCUAAGAUCAGAGGAGAGCAGUGGCCAUUGGGCUAAGGUCAGAGGAGAGCAGUG
rnacentral:lncRNA from 1 species